rnacentral:lncRNA from 1 species
AUUUGAUCCGCUAAGCAAAAAAUAAAAAAUAAAAAAUCGAACAAUUACAAUUAUGCAACCCUAACAAUUCCUUUCUCACGGGCAAUUCUUCCUCUCCCAUUAUAAUACCAUAAAUCUUCUCUCUCCAAUCCCUCUUCUCAUCCUCACGCAGUUCAGAGAAGAUGAAGUUAUUGCCAUGGUUGGGUCUCCAUCAUAAAUCAAAAAAUUACCCCAAAAAUGGAAAAACAUUGGAUGUUUGUGUGUAUUCUGUACUAGUGACCGUGCAUAGUCUUGUGGAGUUCAUUUGGGCAAAAACAAUGGCUUUCGUUGGAACCUUGCGAUGCCUACCAUCUAUUUGCCACUUAUCAAAUUCGAUUCCAUCUGUAUCUCCUUCUUCGCUCUCUUUCCAUUUUCCACUUUCAAUUUUCAAUAGCAAAAGAUCCCUCUUGUCCAUCAGGUCAGCUUCGGUGGAAGGUAAACUUCUUGAAUACAUAAACGUGGAAUUAUAUCAAUUUAUCGAGGUUUAUUUAUUUAUUUAUUUAUUAUUAUUAUUAUUAUUAUUAUUAUUAUUAUUAUUCUUAUUAUUAUUAUUAUUAUUAUUAUUAUUAUUAUUAUUAUUAUUAUUAUUAUUAUUAUUAUUUUUGGAUGAUAAAAAAUAGAGAAUAAGUGGGAUACUUCAAGAGUUUGGUGAGACGACUUUUUUGCCUCUAAAUGCUUGAUUUAUUGCCUUCAUGAUUCAGUGAAAAUCUGACGCCUGAGGCGUCGAAGCCUUUCUCCCAUAUUCAAGCCUAAAACGAGCUUGAAAACAACAUGUUUAUGAAGAAAUAGAUUCAUGGAUUGUGAAUAUUUUUUUGGAAAUGACAGUACAAGCGUGGAAUACACUGUGAAGUGAAAUUUAAUAAAGGAAGGAGAUAAGAAAAUAUUGAGGCUUUGGGAAAGAAAAUUUCAAAAAUAAAUAUAUAAUAUAUUGUUCUUCAAGAAUGAAUAAUGAUGAUCCACUCUGGUUAUUGAUAUUUUCUCUUGUUUUACAACAUUUUGGACCAUGCCGAAGAAACCAUUUGUAACAACAGAGUAGAGAGCAUAGGAUGAUUAAAUAAUUUGAUGAUUAUUCAUGUGGACUUAAAUAACAUGACAAUAAUUCUUUUAGAUGAGGGGGUUCUUGAUUUUCAAUAGGCCUUUGCUGUUAAAUAAAUAAUUUGAUGGUUAUUCAUGUGGACUUAAAUUUUUCACAGGGAUACUGAUGUAGUAAGUGGAUUUACACUAUACAUGGUUUCUUCUUGUUUCUGAUGUAUGGACCAAAUUGUUUAGGAUUUCAUGAUUACAAAAAAAAAAAAAAAAUGUUUUGUUACUAUUGUGUUAUAGUUUAUGGAUUGCAUAAAACCAGUAAGAGAAACCUUUUGGUAUAGAAGAUAAUGUGAUCUAUUCAUUGUGGAUAUGUUGAACUUCAUUACUACAUUUUUCUAGCAAUGCACUUGUGACUAUGCUUUGUUUGCAUUUACUCUAAGUGAUAACUGAUAACCACUCCCCUAAAGUAAGGCCUUGAUUUGUGGGUUUAUACUUAACCACCAUUUCAUUACAAACAAGUUUGGAGGGUGAGUCCAAUCUAGCAUGGCCAUGGCUAUUGUAUGAGACUAGGCACCAUUCUCAGGACGAUCCUCAUUGCCAACAGAUGAAUUGGGAGGGAGGGUUACUUAAAAGUAAAAGAUGGGUUUAUUAAUGUAGCCCAUUGAGAAUAUGGUCCAUCACGGACGUUAACUUUGAAAUGAGUGGAGUGUAAGAACCCUAAUGAGUCUUAUAUUUUUAAGGCUUGACUUUUGGACAUGUAAUCACUUGGGAACCCUCCCCUUACAUGUAAGUUUUAAGUCUAAAUUCUAUUGAAUGGGGUUUUAACAUCUCGAGCAACAUGAAAAUAUUUUGCAAUGUCAGCGCCUUAAUGGACUUAAUUGUAUGUAAAUCUUGACAUUUCAAAUAAUUUGAUAAUAUAGUAGGGCAAAUAAGAGUCCUUUAUUGGUAUUGCAUGAAUCCCAUGGUCCAUAGGUCUUCAACUUUGCCACUUGAGCUACAUCUCAUUUGCAUAUUGUAGAGAAUUUAGAGAUUAUGCAAUGUUGUUGAUAAAGAUUCUGCUUAACAUGGUCAAUGGAUUAUUUAGUGUAGAUAUAAUUAUGAUGCCAUCUGUCAGGUUAUUGGCUUUUGAUAUUUUAUUUUUCUAAUAAUCUUUCGACCAUGGUAGCAAGAAAAUUUUCUUGUUUAUUUCAAAAGCAUAAUGGCAUGAGGAAGAUUGGUUUGUCAAUUUGGUUUCGUUUUGAAAAUGCCCAUUUUAGAAAUUUACGGGAGAAGCCAUUGAAUAGCUCUUAGGGUUAGUACGCAUUAUUCUUAUCGAAUUUUAUUGUGUAUGUGGUGCUAAAUAACGUUGUGAAAGCAUCUUCUUUGUUAAUUAUAUUCCAUGUUGUCCAAUCCAACAUAUAAAACAUUCCCGAAAACUUUAUGUCCUCUUAUUUUCCUCCAUUGCAUUUUCUUACAGGAUAAAUUAGGUGAAUGGAUUUUCAAGAGUAGAAGUAGAGAUGCAUUUCAUGAGGGCUACAUGUUUUCUAUGCUUGUCACAGAAUAAUUCGAUGUUUGGCCUGAGAAAAAUGUCCGUCAGCGAAUAUGGGUAAGUUCCCUUGUCAAAAUCUAUGUGCAUGCUUACGUAAAGUUUGUUCGUAAACGAUUUGAAUUGCUUUUGUGUAAGUACUAUGUCGAAUAUUUUUCUUGUUCUUGAGAGGCAAGAAUCUUAAGGCUGUUUUCUCCAAAGUCGUCCUAUAUAUUCUCUGGUCUUUUGGAGACUCAUUUGCACCAUAACUUGUUGGCAUCCAUCAGCUCUAAAGUGACAGUGGCAGUACGUUUUGUUUAUUUCAGUAUCUGACUUUGCUUUCUGGAAUUUUUGUUUGGUUUCUCCCUAUUGAUCACAUAACUAGGGGUUGGGGAAAGAUGGAAGUGGCAUGGUAGAGCUUGUCCAAGUUCAAGUCAUGGAUACUAGAGCGGUACUAGGGAAUCAGCCUAAGGAGUUGGAUCUAAAACUCGAAGUGUAGGCUAGAGAUAGUUAUAAAGCUGUUAUUCAAAAGAAGGCCAUUGCCCGAUUUCGGGAAAUAUCAUAGGCUAGUUGACACGAAAGAAGCUGUUUUUCUUUGUGCUCCGCCAUUUGUUAUCCCUUUUGAGUUAUGUUUGUAGAGACGAUGCAACAAGAACUCUUUAAUCCUUACUCCUUUUUAGUUAGGUGGUGUUGUAUUACAUUUUAAUGUUCAAGUGUAUUGAUUCAAAAAUUUGUAAUGAAAUUAUUAAUUUUUAUGCAAUUCCAAAAUUUGUUCACAAA